rnacentral:rRNA from 1 species
UACGUAAGGGGCAAGCGUUGUCCGGAAUCAUUGGGCGUAAAGCGCGUGUAGGCGGUCCGGUAAGUCGGCUGUGAAAGUCCAGGGCUCAACCCUGGGAUGCCGGUCGAUACUGCCGGACUAGAGUUCGGAAGAGGCGAGUGGAAUUCCCGGUGUAGCGGUGAAAUGCGCAGAUAUCGGGAGGAACACCAAUGGCGAAGGCAGCUCGCUGGGACGUUACUGACGCUGAGACGCGAAAGCGUGGGGAGCAAACAGG